rnacentral:rRNA from 1 species
CUACGGGUUGCUGCAGUGAGGAAUUUUGCGCAAUGGGGGAAACCCUGACGCAGCAACGCCGCGUGAGUGAAGAAGGCCCUUGGGUCGUAAAGCUCUGUCAAUGGGGAAGAAGUUAUUAUGUGUUAAUAGCACAUUUUAUUGACGGUACCCAUGAAGGAAGCACCGGGUAACUCCGUGCCAGCAGCCGCGGUAAUACGGGGGGUGCAAGCGUUAUUCGGAAUUAUUGGGCGUAAAGGGCACGCAGGCGGUCCUGUCAGUCAGAUGUGAAAGCCCGGGGCUCAACCCCGGACGUGCAUUUGAAACAGCAGGACUUGAGUACGGGAGAGGAAAGGGGAAUUCCUGGUGUAGAGGUGAAAUUCGUAGAUAUCAGGAGGAACACCGGUGGCGAAGGCGCCUUUCUGGACCGAUACUGACGCUGAGGUGCGAAGGCGUGGGUAGCGAACGGGAUUAGAUACCCGUGUAGUC